UCGGGGCAGUCCACAUGACCACGACGAAGUGCAAUUCCACGACAGUUGGACAACUGAUUCUGAAGAGUGUGGUUACGCACCGCCAAGGCCACCAACUCCACCAACGUAUUUUGACUUGUCGCACCAAGUGAACAGGAGGCAGUCCACGGAAGUGCAGUCAGUGCCAGAGACACAAGGAAAUCAUGAGCAUGUCGCUCUCGGGCGUACUUACCCAUUUCCGCGGUGGGCAGAAGCUCAAGGAAGAGAACCUCCUCCUAUUGAAGUGCCAUCAGCAUCAACUACGCCACACACAUGUAUUUCAAUCUUUACAGUAAUAUCCCUGUGGCAUGUAAUUUCUAUACAUGG